CGUGCCCGGGUAAGCCGAUACGACCAGCUCCUGUCAAACUCCUCCAGGUCCGGAAGGAAGCAAAGGUAGAUGGUUGAGCGGUGCGAUAUUGGUUUACCUUUUU
rfam:Bacteroidetes bacterium RIFCSPLOWO2_12_FTLL_37_12 rifcsplowo2_12_scaffold_495, whole genome shotgun sequence.